UGGGGAAUCUUGCACAAUGGGGGAAACCCUGAUGCAGCGACGCCGCGUGAACGACGAAGCCCUUCGGGGUGUAAAGUUCUUUCGACAGGAACGAUAAUGACGGUACCUGGAGAAGAAGCUGCGGCUAACUACGUGCCAGCAGCCGCGGUAAUACGUAGGCAGCGAGCGUUGUUCGGAGUUACUGGGCGUAAAGAGUGCGUAGGCGGCGAGCCAAGUUUGGUGUGAAAUCUCCCGGCUUAACCGGGAGGGUGCGCCGAAAACUGGUUGGCUGGAGUAUGGGAGAGGAAAGCGGAAUUCCUGGUGUAGCGGUGAAAUGCGUAGAUAUCAGGAGGAACACCUGCGGUGUAGGCAGCUUUCUGGACCAAAACUGACGCUGAGGCACGAAAGCGUGGGUAGCAAACA
rnacentral:rRNA from 1 species